AUGAACUUCUCUGCUCUUUUGGUGUUUGUUUCUGCUUUCGUGUCUGUUUACGGAUAUCAUGGUCUGCCCUGCUCGGACUGCGAUCAUCCAUGUAGUGAGAAUCGCUUGAAAAAUGUCUCCGAUCAAUUAUGCAAGACAAUGUACUUUUCAGACUGCAGACUGAACAACCACGUUUCUAACAAAGCCAAUCCUACUUGGAAGUGCAAGCCAUCCCCAGCAGUUUCUGACAGGAUUCGUACAGUCCGUAACACCACAUGUGAAAAGUGCCCAGAUCCAGGUUUCGAGGCAGUACCGAUUGUGCAAAAUAUCAACAUGUUAUUCAAAAAGACCUGCACGGGCACUAAUUAUAUUAUAUUAUAUGUAAAGCCUGUCACGAUUUCAUUAGGCUGUACAUGUGCAAAGAAAGACUGAACAAUAUGCAAAUUAUGCCAGCAUGCACUUUUGAUGAGCUCAUUAAUAUGACCAUCUCGGAACUGCAAUGUGUUCACAUCGUUUAUUUUUCAUUUGUGAAAACCAAAUGUGAUGACUAUGUCUAAAACCGUAAAAUCAGUGUCAGUGCUUUGGAUUAUGUUUUAUGUUUUUGACAGAGAUUUCCAUGUUUGUAAAAACUGUCUCGAAUCCAUGUAAUGAUUCAGUUGUAUGCAUAUUACACGUUUAUGUGUCAUAAUAAUAAUGCAUUCAUUUGUGCUGAAUUCUUCUUUUUAUUGAAGUGAAUAAAGCUUGUUGAAAUAAACACAAU
rnacentral:lncRNA from 1 species